ensembl:snRNA U4 U4 spliceosomal RNA
AGCUUUGUGCAGUGGCAGUAUCGUAGCCAAUGAGGUUUAUCUGAGGCGCAAUUAUUAAUUGAAAACUUUUCCCUAGAAUCCAUGCCCAUAUAUUUACUUAUGUUUAUGAUCUGGUUUAAAUUAGCAAAUAA